AACGAACGCUGGCGGCAUGCCUAACACAUGCAAGUCGAACGAGACCUUCGGGUCUAGUGGCGCACGGGUUCGUAACGCGUGGGAACCUUCCCUUAGGUUCGGAAUAACUCCCCGAAAGGGGUGCUAAUACCGGAUAAUGUCUUCGGACCAAAGAUUUAUCGCCUUUGGAUGGGCCCGCGUUGGAUUAGCUAGUUGGUAGGGUAAAAGCAUACCAAGGCGACGAUCCAUAGCUGGUCUGAGAGGAUGCUCAGCCACACUGGGACUGAGACACGGCCCAGACUCCUACGGGAGGCAGCAGUGGGGAAUAUUGGACAAUGGGCGAAAGCCUGAUCCAGCAAUGCCGCGUGAGUGAUGAAGGCCUGAGGGUUGUAAAGCUCUUUUACCCGGGAUGAUAAUGACAGUACCGGGAGAAUAAGCUCCGGCUAACUCCGUG
rnacentral:rRNA from 1 species